AUUGAACGCUGGCGGAAUGCUUUACACAUGCAAGUCGAACGGCAGCACGGACUUCGGUCUGGUGGCGAGUGGCGAACGGGUGAGUAAUGUAUCGGAACGUGCCCAGUCGUGGGGGAUAACGUAGUGAAAAUUACGCUAAUACCGCAUACGAUCUAUGGAUGAAAGCGGGGGAUCGCAAGACCUCGCGCGAUUGGAGCGGCCGAUAUCAGAUUAGGUAGUUGGUGGGGUAAAGGCCCACCAAGCCAACGAUCUGUAGCUGGUCUGAGAGGACGACGAGCCACACUGGAACGGAGACACGGUCCAGACUCCUACGGGAGGCAGCAGUGGGGAAUUUUGGACAAUGGGCGAAAGCCUGAUCCAGCCAUUCCGCGUGCAGGAUGAAGGCCCUCGGGUUGUAAACUGCCUUUGUACAGAACGAAAAGGUUUCUACUAAUACUAGGAGCUCAUGACGGUACUGUAAGAAUAAGCACCGGCUAACUACGUGCCAGCAGCCGCCGUAA
rnacentral:rRNA from 1 species